rnacentral:rRNA from 1 species
AUGAACGCUAGCGACAGGCUUAACACAUGCAAGUCGAGGGGCAUCAUGAGGUAGCAAUACCUUGAUGGCGACCGGCGCACGGGUGAGUAACGCGUAUGCAACCUGCCUGAUACCGGGGUAUAGCCCAUGGAAACGUGGAUUAACACCCCAUAGUACUUUUAUCCUGCAUGGGAUGUGAGUUAAAUGUUCAAGGUAUCGGAUGGGCAUGCGUCCUAUUAGUUAGUUGGCGGGGUAACAGCCCACCAAGACGAUGAUAGGUAGGGGUUCUGAGAGGAAGGUCCCCCACAUUGGAACUGAGACACGGUCCAAACUCCUACGGGAGGCAGCAGUGAGGAAUAUUGGUCAAUGGACGAGAGUCUGAACCAGCCAAGUCGCGUGAGGGAAGACUGCCCUAUGGGUUGUAAACCUCUUUUAUAAGGGAAGAAUAAGUUCUACGUGUAGAAUGAUGCCUGUACCUUAUGAAUAAGCAUCGGCUAACUCCGUGCCAGCAGCCGCGGUAAUACGGAGGAUGCGAGCGUUAUCCGGAUUUAUUGGGUUUAAAGGGUGCGUAGGCGGUUUAUUAAGUUAGUGGUUAAAUAUUUGAGCUAAACUCAAUUGUGCCAUUAAUACUGGUAAACUGGAGUACAGACGAGGUAGGCGGAAUAAGUUAAGUAGCGGUGAAAUGCAUAGAUAUAACUUAGAACUCCGAUAGCGAAGGCAGCUUACCAGACUGUAACUGACGCUGAUGCACGAGAGCGUGGGUAGCGAACAGGAUUAGAUACCCUGGUAGUCCACGCCGUAAACGAUGCUCACUGGUUCUGUGCGAUAUAUUGUACGGGAUUAAGCGAAAGUAUUAAGUGAGCCACCUGGGGAGUACGUCGGCAACGAUGAAACUCAAAGGAAUUGACGGGGGCCCGCACAAGCGGAGGAACAUGUGGUUUAAUUCGAUGAUACGCGAGGAACCUUACCUGGUCUUGACAUCCUGAUGACCGUUCCUUAACCGGAACUUUUCUUCGGAACAUCAGAGACAGGUGGUGCAUGGUUGUCGUCAGCUCGUGCCGUGAGGUGUCGGGUUAAGUCCCAUAACGAGCGCAACCCUUACCGUUAGUUGCUAGCAUGUAAUGAUGAGCACUCUAACGGGACUGCCACCGUAAGGUGAGAGGAAGGCGGGGAUGACGUCAAAUCAGCACGGCCCUUACACCCAGGGCUACACACGUGUUACAAUGGCCGGUACAGAGGGCCGCUACCAGGUGACUGGAUGCCAAUCUCAAAAGCCGGUCGUAGUUCGGAUUGGAGUCUGUAACCCGACUCCAUGAAGUUGGAUUCGCUAGUAAUCGCGCAUCAGCCAUGGCGCGGUGAAUACGUUCCCGGGCCUUGUACACACCGCCCGUCAAGCCAUGGAAGCCGGGGGUGCCUGAAGUCCGUAACCGCGAGGAUCGGCCUAGGGCAAAACUGGUAACUGGGGCU